rnacentral:rRNA from 1 species
GACGAACGCUGGCGGCGUGCCUAACACAUGCGAGUCGAGCGAAUGAAGUUCCUUCGGGAAUGGAUUUAGCGGCGGACGGGUGAGUAACACGUGGGCAACCUGCCUCAUAGAGGGGAAUAGCCUUCCGAAAGGGAGAUUAAUACCGCAUAAGAUUGUAGUAUCGCAUGAUACAGCAAUUAAAGGAGCAAUCCGCUAUGAGAUGGGCCCGCGGCGCAUUAGCUAGUUGGUGAGGUAACGGCUCACCAAGGCGACGAUGCGUAGCCGACCUGAGAGGGUGAUCGGCCACAUUGGGACUGAGACACGGCCCAGACUCCUACGGGAGGCAGCAGUGGGGAAUAUUGCACAAUGGGGGAAACCCUGAUGCAGCAACGCCGCGUGAGUGAUGACGGCCUUCGGGUUGUAAAGCUCUGUCUUCAGGGACGAUAAUGACGGUACCUGAGGAGGAAGCCACGGCUAACUACGUG